rnacentral:rRNA from 1 species
UACGUAUGGUGCAAGCGUUAUCCGGAUUUACUGGGCGUAAAGGGAGCGCAGGCGGCGCGCCAAGUCUGAUGUGAAACCCCGGGGCUCAACCCCGGGCAUGCAUUGGAAACUGGCGGGCUGGAGUGCCGGAGAGGUAAGCGGAAUUCCUAGUGUGGCGGUGAAAUGCGUAGAUAUUAGGAGGAACACCAGUGGCGAAGGCGGCUUACUGGACGGCAACUGACGCUGAGGCUCGAAAGCGUGGGGAGCAAACAGG